UUACAGCCAUACCACAUUGAAUACAUCAGAUCUCAUCUGAUCAUCAAAGUUAAGCAGUUUUGAGCUUGGGCUGUGCUAAGAUGAGAGACCACUUGAGAAUAAC